GACUCCAUGAAGCUGGAUUCGCUGUAAUCGCGCAUCAGCCACGGCGCGGUGAAUACGUUCCCGGGCCUUGUACACACCGCCCGUCAAGCCAUGGAAGCCGGGGGUGCCUGAAGUGCGUGAGCGCAAGCAGCGCCCUAAGGUAAAACCGGUGACUGGGGCUAAGUCGUAACAAGGUAUC
rnacentral:rRNA from 1 species